rnacentral:rRNA from 1 species
UACGUAGGGUGCGAGCGUUAAUCGGAAUUACUGGGCGUAAAGCGUGCGCAGGCGGUUUUGUAAGUCGGAUGUGAAAUCCCCGGGCUCAACCUGGGAACUGCGUUCGAAACUGCAAGGCUAGAGUGUGUCAGAGGGGGGUAGAAUUCCACGUGUAGCAGUGAAAUGCGUAGAGAUGUGGAGGAAUACCAAUGGCGAAGGCAGCCCCCUGGGGAUAA